rnacentral:rRNA from 1 species
GACGUAGGAGGCGAGCGUUAUCCGGAUUCACUGGGCGUAAAGCGCAUGUAGGCGGUUCGACAAGUCGUGUGUGUAAGCCCCUGGCUCAACUGGGGGAGGUCAUGCGAGACUGUGGGACUGGAGGGCAGCAGAGGCGUAUGGAACUCCCGGUGUAGCGGUGGAAUGCGUAGAGAUCGGGAAGAACACCAGUGGCGAAGGCGGUACGCUGGGCUGCACCUGACGCUGAGAUGCGAAAGUGUGGGGAGCAAACGGG